rnacentral:rRNA from 1 species
CCUACGGGUGGCAGCAGUGAGGAAUAUUGGUCAAUGGACGAGAGUCUGAACCAGCCAAGUAGCGUGAAGGAUGACUGCCCUACGGGUUGUAAACUUCUUUUAUAUGGGAAUAAAAUGCUCCACGUGUGCCUUUGUAUGUACACUCUGUGUAAGGAUCGGCUAACUCCGUGCCAGCAGCCGCGGUAAUACGGAGGAUCCGAGCGUUAUCCGGAUUUAUUGGGUUUAAAGGGAGCGUAGGUGGGUUGUUAAGUCAGUUGUGAAAGUUUGCGGCUCAACCGUAAAAUUGCAGUGGAUACUGGCAGUCUGGAGUACAGUAGAGGUAGGCGGAAUUCGUGGUGUAGCGGUGAAAUGCUUAGAUAUCACGAAGAACUCCGAUUGCGAAGGCAGCUCACUGGACUGCAACUGACACUGAGGCUCGAAAGUGUGGGUAUCAAACAGGAUUAGAUACCCGAGUAGUC